GAUGAACGCUGGCGGUGUGCCUAAUACAUGCAAGUCGAGCGAACAGACGAGGAGCUUACUCCUCUGACGUUAGCGGCGGACGGGUGAGUAACACGUGGAUAACCUACCUAUAAGACUGGGAUAACUUCGGGAAACCGGAGCUAAUACCGGAUAACAUGUUGAACCGCAUGGUUCAACAGUGAAAGACGGUCUUGCUGUCACUUAUAGAUGGAUCCGCGUCGCAUUAGCUAGUUGGUAAGGUAACGGCUUACCAAGGCAACGAUGCGUAGCCAACCUGAGAGGGUGAUCGGCCACACUGGAACUGAGACACGGUCCAGACUCCUACGGGAGGCAGCAGUAGGGAAUCUUCCGCAAUGGGCGAAAGCCUGACGGAGCAACGCCGCGUGAGUGAAGAAGGUCUUCGGAUCGUAAAACUCUGUUAUUAGGGAAGAACAAAUGUGUAAGUAACUAUGCACGUCUUGACGGUACCUAAUCAGAAAGCCACGGCUAACUACGUG
rnacentral:rRNA from 1 species